UACGGGGGGUGCAAGCGUUAAUCGGAUUUACUGGGCGUAAAGCGUGCGUAGGCGGCUUUUUAAGUCGGAUGUGAAAUCCCUGAGCUUAACUUAGGAAUUGCAUUCGAUACUGGGAAGCUAGAGUAUGGGAGAGGAUGGUAGAAUUCCAGGUGUAGCGGUGAAAUGCGUAGAGAUCUGGAGGAAUACCGAUGGCGAAGGCAGCCAUCUGGCCUAAUACUGACGCUGAGGUGCGAAAGCAUGGGGAGCAAACAGG
rnacentral:rRNA from 1 species